GGGAAAGAUUUAUCGCCGAAAGAUUGGCCCGCGUCUGAUUAGCUAGUUGGUGAGGUAACGGCUCACCAAGGCGACGAUCAGUAGCUGGUCUGAGAGGAUGAUCAGCCACAUUGGGACUGAGACAUGGCCCAAACUCCUACGGGAGGCAGCAGUGGGGAAUAUUGGACAAUGGGCGCAAGCCUGAUCCAGCCAUGCCGCGUGAGUGAUGAAGGCCCUAGGGUUGUAAAGCUCUUUUGUGCGGGAAGAUAAUGACGGUACCGCAAGAAUAAGCCCCGGCUAACUUCGUGCCAGCAGCCGCGGUAAUACGAAGGGGGCUAGCGUUGCUCGGAAUCACUGGGCGUAAAGGGUGCGUAGGCGGGUCUUUAAGUCAGGGGUGAAAUCCUGGAGCUCAACUCCAGAACUGCCUUUGAUACUGAGGAUCUUGAGUUCGGGAGAGGUGAGUGGAACUGCGAGUGUA
rnacentral:rRNA from 1 species